UACGUAGGGGGCAAGCGUUAUCCGGAUUUACUGGGCGUAAAGCGCGCGUAGGCGGUUGCGCAAGUCGGUUGUGAAAUCUCCCGGCUCAACCGGGAAACUGCAGCCAAUACUGCGUGGCUAGAGUGGCAGAGAGGAAAGUGGAAUUCCCGGUGUAGUAGUGAAAUGCGUAGAUAUCGGGAGGAACACCAGCGGCGAAGGCGACUUUCUGGCUGCCAACUGACACUGAGACGCGAAAGCUAGGGGAGCGAACGGG
rnacentral:rRNA from 1 species